CAGUAGCCGCGGGAAUACGGAGGGUGCAAGCGUUAAUCGGAAUUACUGGGCGUAAAGCGCACGCAGGCGGUCUGUCAAGUCAGAUGUGAAAUCCCCGGGCUUAACCUGGGAACUGCAUUUGAAACUGGCAGGCUAGAGUCUUGUAGAGGGGGGUAGAAUUCCAGGUGUAGCGGUGAAAUGCGUAGAGAUCUGGAGGAAUACCGGUGGCGAAGGCGGCCCCCUGGACAAAGACUGACGCUCAGGUGCGAAAGCGUGGGGAGCAAACAGGAUUAGAUACCCCAGUAGUCCCUGUCUCUUAUAA
rnacentral:rRNA from 1 species